rnacentral:lncRNA from 1 species
UGAAAUAAAAAUUUCAGAGACUUCCCUAGAAGGAUUUUCCUUGAUCUUAUUCACUGAACAUCACAGAACUCUUGGAAAACAUCAAGUAUUAAAUAUUCCUUAUGAACGAUGUCUUCUUUUUUACACAUUUAGAGAAGCCCAAAUGAUGGACAUUUAAAAUAGACAUAUUGUGAAUAUCAGGAUCGGCUUGCUUCCAGACGUUUCCAAAACUUGCAGUGCGCUGUAAUAUCCCUGGGACUGGCAGAUGUCUUCCUGUCUCUGAUCUUUUCCCAUCAAUUCAAUUCAGAGAACAAAAAAGAGGAGCUGGCAGAAGAAAGAUUGGCAAUUGCCAGCUUUGCAGAUGCUCCGAUCUCUCUUUGACACAUAGGAACUCCUCAAAAAGACAUAGGGUGAUAAGCACGAAAGACCUCUGAGAUCUUGAGAAUAAACUGUGUACAAAUGGAAUGCAUAUCCAUGGACUGGAUGAGAUCCCUAGGGAGCGAAGGCCAGAUGCCCUGCCGUGAGCUCAGACAGCAUGCCAGCUUUACUUUGUGACCUGGAUUUCACAUCGAGUGUUAUUCACAACAAAUGACAUUAAGGUCAUACAAGAGAAAACAGUCAGCCUUCUCGGUUUUAGCUGGAGACAGAGUUUGUCUGCAAAUCCACAAUGACACAAUGGAAUCACCAGUAGAAGAGACAUCUCAGCUGGCUUGGCUGACUGGAAGUUACUCAGAAGGGAUUUGCUGGUUGGAGAGUCAGCCACAGCUGUAUCAUCUUGAUAUCAGUCAAAUGAAUGGCACUGUGGUUAUUGCUUCCAAUAACUAUUACCUCUUCACUAACAACUCCACUGACCUCGUUUCCUGUUCACUUAACCUCCUUACCAGAAAACGUGCUUGAUAUUUGGUUAUAACAUAACUUUGGAUGUUCAGACUUAGAUAUACAUAAAUUCAUAAUAUUCUGUUCUAUAAAGUUUCAUUAGAAUUGUUAUAAUUAUUGGAUAUCAUUCCAUUCCCAACAUUCAUAUUAUUAAAUAGUUUGAAUGCAUUUAAUCUAUUUUUGUUUACUUUAUCUUAAACAUGUUUGUUUAUCGCUUUUUUCUUUUUGGUGAGGAAGAUGGGCCAUGAGCUAACAUCUGUUCCAAUCUUCCUCUGUUUUGUAUGUGGAAUGCUGCCACAGCUGGCUUGAUGAGCAGUGUGAAGGUCUGCUCCUGGGAUCUGAACCUGUGAACCCUGGGCAGACAAAGCAGACUGUAUGAACUUAACCAGUAUGUCACUGGGCUGGUCCUGUUUAUAGAAUUUUUUUUCAUCUGAGGUUGUAAGCAUAGUACCGUAAGGAUAAUCACAUGCAUGUUUAGAAGACUCUAUAUUUUACAAAAAACUCUCACAUAUAUUAGCUCCUGGGGGGAGGAACAGUUCUAGUACAAAUCCAUGUGCAUUAAGAGAUUUGAAUGAGUUCAUUACCAAGGUCCCUUGAUCUGUUUAAAGAUGAGUGAUUACAAUAUGCUUUGAUGAUAGUGAUUAUGAGGCCUUUUUGAACAUUGUCACUAUGCUAAGGGAUGUGAAAAAUGUAUCCCUGAUGAGACACAUUCCUGAAAAUAAUUUUUUUCUGUAACAGGGUAGUGUAUACCCCACCUGUCCAGUCAUCCUGGAAGGCAGAGGCUACAGAGCACUGUUGGCCUGGCAGGUUGUGGCUUGGGAGUUCUGGGCAGAUGCCAUGACAGCUUGCUUCUUAUCCUGGACAUGACUGAAACCAAAGGACCACCUAUUAAGUACAUUCCAGGGAAAUGUCAGACAAGUUAUAAGACAAACUCUCCAUGCUUGGUGGCCAAGUCUAUUGGAGUUACUAGAAGAAUGAUUGCUAACACAGACUCAAAUGAAGUAGAGGCCAGGGUGAGAGGAAUUUGGAGGUGGGUAGAGAGUCUGGGGGCAAUUUCAGUGUGAGAAUUCAGAUGAUCAUGGUGGCAUUUUAUCCAGUACUGGUAGCCUCUGCUUUGGACUCUCCAGGAACAUCAAAAGCCGUAAUUCUCAGCCUGGCUUCACAUUAGAAACAUGAGUUGUUUUUGCAAAUAUAUGUAUGCCUGGGCUCCACCUCCUGAGACUCCAGUUCAAUUGGUUUAGGGUUGGCCUAAGCAUGGGUAAUUUUGAAAGUUCCUCAGGAGCCUUGAUCAGUUGAGAACCACUGAUUAAAAAGAAUAUUGUUUAACACACAGUACUUAUCAAUUCUGUCUGUUGUUUCAUAAACUCACAGAUAUUUUGGAUGGCUUCUUAUGGAAGGUGAGUAAUGAAUAAAGCCAAUGUUCUCUGCUGAAUUGACACACCAUGAGGUAAGUGCAGGGCAGCGAAGAUAUCUCGCUUUGGUCCAUUUAGUAUCAAUCACUUCUGAUGUGAUGAGUUCUUAGGAUGUGAACUCCUUAGGGACAGGAAUUGUGUCAGGCAGAAUCAAGGUAGGGAACAGAUGAUGCACUCAAAUUGGGUACUUUGAGAAAAGUUUAAUAUUUACAGGUCUUACAUUCAAGUCUUUAAUCCAUUUUGAGUUAUUUUUGUGUAUGGUGUAAGAUAAUGGUCUACUUUUAUCCUUUUGCAUGUGACUGUCCAGUUUUUCCAAAACUAUUUAUUGAACAGAAUUUCCUUUCUCUAUUGUAUAUUUUUGGCUCAUUUGUUAAAAAUUAGCUGUUCACAGGUGUGGGGGUUUAUAUCUAGGUUCUCAAUUCUGUUCCAUUGAUCUAUGUGUCUGUUUUUCUGCCAGUAACAUGCUUUUUUGAUUACUAUAGCUUUGCACACCUUGAUUUUUGGAGGUGAAGAUGAUGCAGUCUAAACAGAGGUUGAAAUGUGAUCACCUAAAAUUUAUACAAUGUUAUAAACCAAUGUGACUUCAAUAAAAUAAAUUUUUAAAAAAGAAAUAAAUACAUAUUUACAAACAUGUUAGGAAGGUAUAUGGAAACCCUAAGGAAUAAUUACUACCAUGGGAGACUUUAGCAUUCCUGGGCUUAAAGGAGAAAAGGGAAGCAGCAGUUACUGGAAACCAGCCAGGAAAGGGCUAUGACUCUCAGCUGAAGGAGGCACUUAGCCCUCACCCACCCCAAAGAGAUGGAGCCAGGGAAAUAAAUUCCAUAAACACAUUUUCUCCCUCUUUCCAAACUACUACUAUGCUCCCCUUUGGUCAAACACAACCAGAAUCCAGAAGGCAAGAAAACCCAUUGAUAGCGUCCAUGUAGGUCUACCUCAUACGGCAUAGAUGAGGGAGCAUGUAGGGAAGGGAGGAGAGUGAAUCUGGGAGGGCAAGCAGAAGAUAGCCACACAGAGACCAAGAACAUUUUCAUCUAUGAGAUCUCUUCCUCCCAACCUGCAGUGUCUGGUGUAUAUAAUACGCUCAGUAAGAAUUGUGUGAAUUACUAGAAUUAAAGACAAAUUAGGUUACAAGAGAAAAAGUAACAUUUAUCGAGUAUUUUCCAUGUGUCAGGUGUCCUGUUUAGUUUUACUGCAUCUCACAAGUACUUGUGGGAUGAGUUGUUAUUAUUGCAUUUUACAGUUGAGAAAAUGGGAAGUCAGAGAGGUUGAGUAGCUUAAUGCAAGGGCACAUGACCAGUAAGUAGUGGAGCAGGAAUUCCAGCCCAGGCCUGGCUGACUUUGAAUCCAAGCUCUUUCCCUAACACUGUCUAGCCCUUUACUCUAAACAGAAGGACAGGUCAUAACUAGAGGAAAUUUUGAGUGAUCUCUCUGUAAUGAGGCAGAUACAAAGCCUGACCCAACUCACUUUGUUAGGUUCCAGGGAUCCAGAAGUUCCA